UACGGAGGGAGCUAGCGUUGUUCGGAAUUACUGGGCGUAAAGCGUGCGCAGGCGGUUUUGUAAGUCUGACGUGAAAAUCCCCCGGGCUCAACCUGGGGAAUUGCGUUGGAGACUGCAAGGCUGGAGUCUGGCAGAGGGGGGGUAGAAUUCCACGUGUAGCAGUGAAAUGCGUAGAGAUGUGGAGGAACACCGAUGGCGAAGGGCAGCCCCCU
rnacentral:rRNA from 1 species